GACAGAGGGUGCAAACGUUGUUCGGAAUUACUGGGCGUAAAGCGCGUGUAGGCGGCCCUGCAAGUCGGGUGUGAAAUCCCACGGCUCAACCGUGGAAGUGCAUUCGAAACUGCAGGGCUAGAGUCCUGGAGAGGAAGGUGGAAUGCUUGGUGUAGAGGUGAAAUUUGUAGAUAUCAAGCGGAACACCGGUGGCGAAGGCGGCCUUCUGGACAGUGACUGACGCUGAGACGCGAAAGCGUGGGGAGCAAACAGG
rnacentral:rRNA from 1 species